AACGAUAAAUUUAUAACAAUAAAAAAAAACUUUUCUUAGAUGAAAUAAAAUAUUAAUGUAAGUUUAAUUAAAUGAAUUUUAUUACCUAUAUCAUCAAAAAAAUAAUAUAAAUUAAAACAAGGAUUAGAUACCCUUCUAUUUAUAUAUUAGUUUAAAAAUAUAUGGGUAUUAAAAACAUUAGUUCUAAAUCCAAAAAAUUUGGCGGUAUUUUAACAAAUCAGGGGAACUUGCAAAUUAAAUCGAUAACCCACGAAACCCUAACCUUUAUUAGAAACUCAGUUAGUGUACUGCCGUAUAUAUGUAAAUUUAUAAUUAUAUAUAAUAAAACUAAAAAAAUAUUUUAUACAACAGGUCAAAGUGCAGCUUAUAAAAAGGAAUUUGUGUGUUACAAUAUAAAAAAAUAUGUUCUAUAAAUUAAAUAAUAUUAUUAUUAAAUUGGACUUGAUAGUAAUUAUAAAUUAUAAUGAAAUAAAUCUUAAAAUGUGUACCAAUCGCCCGUCACUCCAGUUAUAAUU
rnacentral:rRNA from 1 species